rnacentral:rRNA from 1 species
UCUAAGCGGGAAGCGAGCCCUGAGAUGAGUUUUCCCUGACGCUAUAAGCGUCCUUAAGGGUUGUUCAAGACUAGAACGUUGAUAGGCAGGGUGUGUAAGUGCUGCGAGGCAUUGAGCUAACCUGUACUAAUUGCCCGUGAGGCUUAACCAUACAACACCCAAGGGGUUU